UACGUAGGGUGCGAGCGUUGUCCGGAAUUAUUGGGCGUAAAGAGCUCGUAGGCGGUCUGUCACGUCGGCUGUGAAAUCCCGAGGCUCAACCUCGGGUCUGCAGUCGAUACGGGCAAACUAGAGUAUUGCAGGGGAGACUGGAAUUCCUGGUGUAGCGGUGAAAUGCGCAGAUAUCAGGAGGAACACCGGUGGCGAAGGCGGGUCUCUGGGCAGUAACUGACGCUGAGGAGCGAAAGCGUGGGGAGCGAACAGG
rnacentral:rRNA from 1 species